GUUUGCACUUGUCGGGGAAGGGUGAGAACCUUCGAUUAAGGUUCGACUCGAGCGAAAGCGAGAGAACGUUGCCAACGGCAACGGCCCGUAGGGUGA
rnacentral:sRNA from 5 species